AAUUACCAGUAGGUAAAUAGAUAAAUGAGGGCAUUAGAAUUGUUCUUAUUCUGGAGCCAGGUGCUAUCUUCAGACCAGGGGUAGGGCAUCCCUUGGAUGAAGAGAAAAGUUUCACAAAGAUUCUGCAAGGUUGUCUUGAACCAGUGCUUGGAAAAGAGAGCUGAAGGUGAUUAACUGCUUGCUGUGAUACAGAUGCUGAAUGAAGAGAAUGGCUGAAAUAAUAGAAAACCCCAUUUCUGCUCUCUUGCAUCACGAGUUCCCAAGUUUAUGCUCACCAAGCAGCAUCUCAGCCUACUUUCUUAAAUCAAGAGAAUUGUUUAUGUCCUUGGGAGCUGGCAUAAUAACAUCUGAAGGAAGCCAUGAGACACAACAGGAAUUCAUUUGUAAGUUAAUGAAAGCUGUGCAGUGCAGCAUAAGGAUGAUCAGGGCAGGUCCUGGGCAGCAUUUGUCAAGCUAAAUUCCUUUCUGUUGAAAUUGCUCUCCUCGGAAGAAUCAUGGACCAGCUUAAAAACCGCUUCUGUACAAAUUUGUUAUACAGAAUUCCUUGCUAUAAAGAUGUGUGAUAGAACAGGGUACAGGACAGAAACAGGAGAAAGGUGAUAUGGAUCAAAAAAGAAAGAGAAAAUUGCUUAAAGGCCCUAGCAGAGAGGGGGGAAAAAAGUACCACCUGGGUAGUGUGGCAAAUUUUCCAUGGAAUUUGUCUCUUGGAACAGAAUGUUUUGGUACUCACUGGAGGGGAUUGAACUGGAGAUGGGGUUGAUGCCAAACACCUGAUAGAACCAAAGCACACAGAGCCUGAGCCCAUCUGAAGAAACCCUGAAAGAGCUGGGAAUGAGUUUGUGUGCAAGAACCUAACCAGAAGACGAGCUGCUGUAGCGAGCAAGGUCAACCCUCCCCCUUGAUUUGGGAUUGCUCUUGUGGUGGGAAAAUGAGGCCCUACAGUAAAUAAGGAUUUGAAUGCUAAAGCUCUGCCUCAGUGCAGAGAGCAGGUGGACAGAGCAGGCCAGUGGUGGAAUAUCACAGCAUCUCUUGGGCUAUGAGUCAGACCAGACUCAUCACCAUCAUGCGGCUUUCCAGUCACAAGGACGUGUUUGUCCCCUCUCGGACUUGCAUUGCCCUCAAGGAAAAGCAGCCACAGCUCAGUUCUGUGCCUUGCUCUGCCACAGAUCUGCAGCAGAACACUGUGCCCAAAAGAACAGACCUGCUUCUGUUUCCUCUUCCGCAAAGCCAAGAGGCAGUGUGGCAAUGGAGAUGCCCAUGGCCAAGUGCCCUCCUGAGGAAAGGGCUGGAAGAGAAGCUGGGGGUGUCACCAGACCUCUCCACAUGGAGAUGGUCCUGUGCUUUUCCUGCCUGGGAAGAGUGAAAGAGAGUCAAUUUUGCAUGUGUGAACAGCCUGUCUCAAAUGAGAGCAAGGAGCUGAGUUGCCCAAGCCUGUUUUCUAUGGAUGUGUCCUGCAGUGCACACAGGAGGAUCUAACGUGGCCCUCAGCGAUCAGAGCUCUGCUGCAGAGCAGGAUGUGCCUGUCAUCCACAUGGAUCGAGAUGCCUGAAUCAGCACACUCGUUUCCCCAACAGUGGGAGCAUCACACCUCAGGCUAGAAGAUAAAGUUGAGUUCCCAGGAAAGACCCCAUCUCCAAAUAUUGGCAAGCUGUGAGCUACAGCCGGUGUUUGGCUGAGACUAAUCCUUGAAUUAUGAAAUGCCUGUGUUCCCCAAGGCUGAUCAUCAGCCUGAGCCCCAAAGAUCCACUCGCAGCACCUGGAGCCCUGUACUCACAGGUAAGUGGAGGCAGUGGCUUUUCCAUUUCCUGCAAUGCUGCUUCUGCUUUUUAAAGGAAGAGGAGUUGGUGGAUAGUGGGCCAGGCACUUUGGGCACUCCUCAGAACUGGGCUGAUGACUGGGGGUGUCAUUUACCUGACCCAGAGCCCCCUCCCUGCUCUCUGUUCUGUGGAAUCUCAGCAUGCAGCUUCACCCUGCACAAGUGAGGCAGCCCAAAAUCCCCGGUUUAUUUUCCUGUCUCUUCUUUAUCUUACUGAGAUCUUGUCUGCUGCCUCCUGGCCUGACGCUCAGCAGGCUGGUUCGGGUUGCCAAGGGAAGCAGACAUUCCUCCCCAGGUCUCAGCUCACCACUUGCUGCUGCUGU